AGUUUGAUCCUGGCUCAGAAUGAACGUUGGCGGCGUGGAUUAGGCAUGCAAGUCGAACGAAUCCCCGCAAGGGGGGAAGUGGCGAAAGGGGCAGUAAGGCGUAGACAACCUGCCCCAGGCACUGGGAUAGCCUUCCUAACGGUUGGGUAAUACCAGAUUCGCUCCCGCAGAGGCAUCUCGGCGGGAGGAAAGCUACGGCGGCCUGGGAGGGGUUUACGUGAUAUUAGCUAGUUGGUGGGGUAACGGCUCACCAAGGCCAAGAUGUCUAGCAGGUGUGAGAGCACGACCUGCGCCACUGGCACUGUGGACACUGGCCAGACUCCUACGGGAGGCAGCAGUGGGGAAUUUUCCGCAAUGGGCGCAAGCUGGACGGAGCAAGACCGCGUGCGGGAGGACGGCCUAUUGGUUGUAACCGCUUUUGAUAGGGAAGAAGUACUGACGGUACCUAUCGAAUCAGCAUCGGCUAACUCCGUGCCAGCAGCCGCGGUAAUACGGAGGAUGCAAGCGUUAUCCGGAUUUAUUUGGCGUAAGCGUCCGUAGGUGGUUGUCAAAUCUGC
rnacentral:rRNA from 1 species